GCCUAACCUAACACACAAUUAAAUCACCAAUUGUUCGCCAAAUUACUACGAGUUAAAACUUAAAACUUAAAAGACUUGACGGUACUUCACACCACCCUAGAGGAGCCUGUCUAAUAACCGAUACCCCACGAUUAACCCAACCCGCCCUAGCCUAACAGUCUAUAUACCGCCAUCGCCAGCUCACCCUGUGAAAGAAACAAAGCGAGCCCAAUAAUAAUCGUUAGUACGAUAGGUCGAGGUGUAACUAAUGAGCGGGAAAAAGAUGGGCUACAUUUUCUAAUACAGAAAAUACGAAUAAACUAUGAAAAUAGAAACCGAAGGAGGAUUUAGCAGUAAAUUAGAGACAAUAAACCUAAUCGAAAUAAACGCAAUGAAGUGCGUACACACCGCCCGUCAUCCCUGUAAAAUAAACCAAUACUUCAUAAACACACAAAAACCAAUAAACAGGGCAAGUCGUAACAUGGUAAGCGUACUGGAAAGUGCGCUUAGAAA
rnacentral:rRNA from 1 species